CGGACGGGUGAGUAAUGUCUGGGAAACUGCCCGAUGGAGGGGGAUAACUACUGGAAACGGUAGCUAAUACCGCAUAACGGCGCAAGACCAAAGAGGGGGACCUUCGGGCCUCUUGCCAUCGGAUGUGCCCAGAUGGGAUUAGCUAGUAGGUGGGGUAGCGGCCCACCUAGGCGACGAUCCCUAGCUGGUCUGAGAGGAUGACCAGCCACACUGGAACUGAGACACGGUCCAG
rnacentral:rRNA from 1 species